UCUAACAUGUUGAUUAAAUGUGAUGACCAUUUGGCGAAAAUGUAUCAUUUCGCCAAUUAUGCCGGGUCUUUUUUAGACCCAAGAAUAAAAAAAUCCUUAAUUCCAAAUAAUAUUGAUUUACAAAAGGAUUAUUUUGAUGAUUUUAAAAGUGUCUUUAAAACUUAUUCAACCUCUGGGACAAGUUAUCAAUAUGUCGAUGAUGAGAGUAAUCCUAAUAAUCUUACAUCUUUAUCCAUUUUGCAGGAAUUAAAAAAAAAGAAAAAUGUACGUGGGAGUGCUUUUGAGACCGAAAUAGAUGAAUAUUUAGGAGAACCACUUUGUCCAGAAAAUGCUAAUAUUCUAGAUUGGUGGAGAGGAAACCAAACACGCCUUUCUCAAAUGGCGAGGGAUUUUCUGGCUCAGCAAACUACCUCUGUCCCUAGCGAGCGGGUUUCUGACGAGCUGGAGAUACCGUUACGAAACGGAUGUCAUCAAAGACGCUAAAACAAUGCCUAGCUCUAUCGUCUUGGGAUGGCACGAUAUUUAAUUUAUAGGACGAAUUAUUUAAAGAAUUAUAUUUAUUUAAAUAUAUAUUUGGUAUAUUAUCAUAUUUAAAAAUUGUCAUAAUAUUUAAUAAAUAUUGUAUAUUUAUCAGAGACCUGCAAGCUCGGCCCGGCCCUGGCCGGGCCGUAUUUUAAAUUUUUUAAAUAUACCCGGGCCGGGCCGGACCUAAAAAAUAAUUUAUCCGGGCCGGGCCUAAAAAUUUUUUUUUAAUAUAUCCGGGCCGGGCCGUGCCUAAGAUUUUUAAACCCGGGCCGGGCCGGGCCUUAAUAUUUUUUAUAAAAAAUUUUACAUAAUGAGUUAUUGGUUAUAAGAUUAUAUUAUAUUAUAGUUAUGAUUAAUAUAAUAUUGGGUGAUGGUUAACACUACCUAACACCCACAGAUCGAUCUAAUUAUUAAUUUCCUGAAAGAUACCGGAAAACUCCAUCUUAAAUUACUUAAUAUAUUUUAAUAUCUAAAAUUUCAGUGCUCCCAAAUUGUGUUAGAAAACUUAGAAGUUAGACUUAGAACAAAUUGCAGUGCUCCACUAGUCAUUUUCAAAUUGUGUUAGAAAAGUUAGACUUAGAACAGUUGUGUUAGAAGAAUAGUUUAGAAGUGGAUAUAUCCCAUAAACAGAUUUAAAAUUAGUGAUACUCAAUCAAUCAAUUUUAAGCAUUCAAGAAGCUAAAAAUAUUUCCAAAACAAUCAAUAAAAGGAAUAUCAUGGCACAAAACACUAAAGAUAUAAUUGACAAAAUUAAAAAUAAUAUUUAUUCUUUUAAAAAUACUAAUAAUACUUUAAAAUUUGAAAUUUGGUCUAAAUUUAAAAUAAUAAUAGAUAAUAAUAAUAAAAAAAAUAUUGGCUAUGUGCAAUGCAUAAAUUGUUCAAAUUUAUUAUCUUAUAAUUAUAACCAUGGUACAUCACAUUUAAAAAGACAUAAAUGUUAUGGUAAAUCUAUGAAAAUUAAUAAUUUUUUUUUUACACCUGAAAACCCCACUUAUAAAUGUAAUAUGAAAUAUUUAAAACAAAAAUUUAUAGAUCAUUCCUUACACUUUGCGCAAAAGAUAUUAGACCUUUCGAAAUGAUAGCUGGGAAUGGGUUUCUUAAAUUCAGCCAGGCUCUAGUCGAUGUUGGGGCAACAUAUGGUAAAAUAGAUAUCAACUCAUUAAUUUCACAUCCCACCACUCUAUCACGCCACCUUAAAGAAAAAUGUAAUAAAAUAAGAAGCAUUUUGGUUGAUACUAUUGCCCCAGUAAUCAAGAAUCGAUUUAUGGCUGCUUCCACUGAUAUAUGGUGCGAUGACCAUAAAAAGAACUCGUUUAUAACAGUUAACAUGCACUAUAUAUCAGAUGACUGGAAGUUAGUGAAGAGAAACCUAUUUACCGCUAAAUUUAAAGAAGUGUCUAAGACUAGCCAAGUAGUUAAGGAUGAACUAUUAAAAAAUUUUCAUAAUUUUAGUUUUAACAAUAACGAUUUUAUUAAUAUAAUUUUUGUUACAGACCAAGGUAAAAAUAUUAUAAAAGCAUUGGAGUUAAAUGAACGAUUAAAUUGUUCUUGUCAUUUAUUAAAUACAAUUUUAAGAAAUUCAUUUAACUCCAAAUAUUUGGAAAGUAAUGCCCCAUUAAUAAAAUCAACAAUAGAUAAUACUAAAAUAUUAGUGGGGCAUUUAAAACAAAGAAAUGCCAGCAUUUAAAAGCCCUUUAUCAAGAUAUAGAAGUCCGCUGGAACUCUAAGUACAAUAUGCUCAAUUCUGUUUAUUCUCAAAAUGAAGAAAUUAAAAAAGUUCUUCUAGAACAUGGGGGAUCGGAAAAGUAUUAUAUUAUAGACUUUCCGAUCCUUCAGGAUCUAGUCAACAUUCUUGAGAAUUUUAACAGAGCUAUUGUUGAGUUACAGUCGGACUCUUGUACUCUUUUUAAAGUGGUAAUAUGGUAUUAUGAACUUCUUGAAGUUUGUAAUACCUUUCAAAGCGAAAAAAGAGAAAUAAAAUUGAUAUUACUUAAUAUAAAGCAUUUUUUAAUUGAAAAAUUUGUUUUACACAAGUAUCAUUUUAUUUCUCUUUUUCUCUGUCCCAAAUUCAAACAAUUACGUAUGUUGUCAGGGACAGAUCGCAAGAUGGCGGAAAACUAUAUAAAAGAUUAUAUUAAAUCACAAGAGGCUCAGGAAGUAAAUGAAAUACCAUCGACCAGUCAAAUGACUGUUGUUAAACAAACUAAGUCGUUUUAUGACAAAUGGGGCGAUGGUAAUUCUGGUAAUAUCUCAAUACCCGAUGAUGAAUAUUAUAAUUAUAUAAACAAAAAAACAGAUGAAAUAUUUAAGGUGGAUAAUUUGUUAGAGUGGUGGGCUUCUCAUCAAAGCGAAUUCCCAAUUUUAGCAAAAUUGGCAAAACGGGUAUUGGCUAUUCCUGCUUCAAGUGCAAGCUGUGAGCGGAAUUUUUCCACUACUGGAAGAAUUCUUGAAGAAAGAAGAAGUAAUCUUCAACCUGAAAAGGUAGAUAUGCUUCUUUUUCUUCAUGAUAAUUUGUGAAUUUUUAAUAUCUUUCUUGAGUAUAGGGUUUCGUCAA